AGAGUUUGAUCCUGGCUCAGGAUGAACGCUGGCGGCGUGCCUAACACAUGCAAGUCGAACGGAGUUAUGAUGUGAGCGGGAAGUGCUUGCACUAAACAAUCUUUUCAUAACUUAGUGGCGGACGGGUGAGUAACGCGUGGGUAACCUGCCCUGUACUGGGGGACAACAGUUGGAAACGACUGCUAAUACCGCAUAAGCGCACGGGAUCGCAUGAUCGUGUGUGAAAAACUCCGGUGGUACAGGAUGGACCCGCGUCUGAUUAGCUGGUUGGUGAGGUAACGGCCCACCAAGGCAACGAUCAGUAGCCGGCCUGAGAGGGUGAACGGCCACAUUGGGACUGAGACACGGCCCAAACUCCUACGGGAGGCAGCAGUGGGGAAUAUUGCACAAUGGGGGAAACCCUGAUGCAGCGACGCCGCGUGAGUGAAGAAGUAUUUCGGUAUGUAAAGCUCUAUCAGCAGGGAGGAAAAUGACGGUACCUGACUAAGAAGCCCCGGCUAACUACGUGCCAGCAGCCGCGGUAAUACGUAGGGGGCAAGCGUUAUCCGGAUUUACUGGGUGUAAAGGGAGCGUAGACGGCAUGGCAAGUCUGAAGUGAAAUGCGGGGGCUCAACCCCUGAACUGCUUUGGAAACUGUCAGGCUGGAGUGCAGGAGAGGUAAGUGGAAUUCCUAGUGUAGCGGUGAAAUGCGUAGAUAUUAGGAGGAACACCAGUGGCGAAGGCGGCUUACUGGACUGUAACUGACGUUGAGGCUCGAAAGCGUGGGGAGCAAGCAGGAUUAGAUACCCUGGUAGUCCACGCCGUAAACGAUGAUUACUAGGUGUUGGGGAUUUAUAAAUCCCCGGUGCCGUCCC
rnacentral:rRNA from 1 species